GACGAACGCUGGCGGCGUGCUUAACACAUGCAAGUCGAACGGAAAGGCCCUGCUUUUGUGGGGUGCUCGAGUGGCGAACGGGUGAGUAACACGUGAGUAACCUGCCCUUGACUUUGGGAUAACUUCAGGAAACUGGGGCUAAUACCGGAUAGGAGCUCCUGCUGCAUGGUGGGGGUUGGAAAGUUUCGGCGGUUGGGGAUGGACUCGCGGCUUAUCAGCUUGUUGGUGGGGUAGUGGCUUACCAAGGCUUUGACGGGUAGCCGGCCUGAGAGGGUGACCGGCCACAUUGGGACUGGGAUACGGCCCAGACUCCUACGGGGGGGAGCAGUGGGGGAUAAUGCACAAUGGGCGGAAGCCUGAUGGAGCAACGCCGCGUGCGGGAUGACGGCCUUCGGGGUGUAAACCGCUUUCGCCUGUGACGAAGCGUGAGUGACGGUAAUGGGUAAAGAAGCACCGGCUAACUACGUG
rnacentral:rRNA from 1 species